UGUGUGUUCCAGGUAAAUCCGGUUCACUUUAACACUGAGGCGUGACGACGAGGCACUACGGUGCUGAAGCAACAAAUGCCCUGCUUCCAGGAAAAGCCUCUAAGCAUCAGGUAACAUCAAAUCGUACCCCAAACCGACACAGGUGGUCAGGUAGAGAAUACCAAGGCGCUUGAGAGAACUCGGGUGAAGGAACUAGGCAAAAUGGUGCCGUAACUUCGGGAGAAGGCACGCUGACACGUAGGUGAAGUGAUUUACUCAUGGAGCUGAAGUCAGUCGAAGAUACCAGCUGGCUGCAACUGUUUAUUAAAAACACAGCACUGUGCAAACACGAAAGUGGACGUAUACGGUGUGACGCCUGCCCGGUGCCGGAAGGUUAAUUGAUGGGGUCAGCGCAAGCGAAGCUCCUGAUCGAAGCCCCGGUAAACGGCGGCCGUAACUAUAACGGUCCUAAGGUAGCGAAAUUCCUUGUCGGGUAAGUUCCGACCUGCACGAAUGGCGUAAUGAUGGCCAGGCUGUCUCCACCCGAGACUCAGUGAAAUUGAACUCGCUGUGAAGAUGCAGUGUACCCGCGGCAAGACGGAAAGACCCCGUGAACCUUUACUAUAGCUUGACACUGAACAUUGAGCCUUGAUGUGUAGGAUAGGUGGGAGGCUUUGAAGUGUGGACGCCAGUCUGCAUGGAGCCGACCUUGAAAUACCACCCUUUAAUGUUUGAUGUUCUAACGUGGACCCGUUACCCGGGUUGCGGACAGUGUCUGGUGGGUAGUUUGACUGGGGCGGUCUCCUCCUAAAGAGUAACGGAGGAGCACGAAGGUUGGCUAAUCCUGGUCGGACAUCAGGAGGUUAGUGCAAUGGCAUAAGCCAGCUUGACUGCGAGCGUGACGGCGCGAGCAGGUGCGAAAGCAGGUCAUAGUGAUCCGGUGGUUCUGAAUGGAAGGGCCAUCGCUCAACGGAUAAAAGGUACUCCGGGGAUAACAGGCUGAUACCGCCCAAGAGUUCAUAUCGACGGCGGUGUUUGGCACCUCGAUGUCGGCUCAUCACAUCCUGGGGCUGAAGUAGGUCCCAAGGGUAUGGCUGUUCGCCAUUUAAAGUGGUACGCGAGCUGGGUUUAGAACGUCGUGAGACAGUUCGGUCCCUAUCUGCCGUGGGCGCUGGAGAACUGAGGGGGGCUGCUCCUAGUACGAGAGGACCGGAGUGGACGCAUCACUGGUGUUCGGGUUGUCAUGCCAAUGGCACUGCCCGGUAGCUAAAUGCGGAAGAGAUAAGUGCUGAAAGCAUCUAAGCACGAAACUUGCCCCGAG
rnacentral:rRNA from 1 species